AUAAGCGGAGGAAAAGAAACUAACAAGGAUUCCCCUAGUAACUGCGAGUGAAGCGGGAAAAGCUCAAAUUUAAAAUCUGGCGGUCUACGGCCGUCCGAGUUGUAAACUAGAGAAGUGCUAUCCGUGCUGGACCAUGUAUAAGUCUCCUGGAACGGAGCGUCACAGAGGGUGAGAAUCCCGUCUUUGACAUGGACUCCCAGUGCAUUGUGAUGUGCUCUCAAAGAGUCGAGUUGUUUGGGAAUGCAGCUCAAAAUGGGUGGUAAAUUCCAUCUAAAGCUAAAUAUUGGCGAGAGACCGAUAGCGAACAAGUACCGUGAGGGAAAGAUGAAAAGAACUUUGGAAAGAGAGUUAAACAGUACGUGAAAUUGUUGAAAGGGAAACGCUUGAAGUCAGUCGCAUCGGCCGAGAUCAACCUUGCAUUGUGAGGUGUACUCUCCGGUCGAUGGGUCAGCAUCAAUUUUGACCGCUGGAAAAAGGUCAGGGGAAUGUGGCAUCCUUGGAUGUGUUAUAGCCCCUGAUUGUAUGCAGUGGUUGGGAUUGAGGAACUCAGCACGCCGCAAGGCCGGGUUUUACCACGUUCGUGCUUAGGAUGCUGGCAUAAUGGCUUUAAUCGACCCGUCUUGAAACACGGACCAAGGA
rnacentral:rRNA from 1 species